GGGUGUGAGGGUGAUCAUCCCACUGAUGACCAGGGUUGAUCGGCUGAUCUGGCUGGCUAGGAGGGUGCCUUCUUCCUCCCUCACUGUUCCAUGUGUCCCUCCUGAAGCUGUGCACUCGGUCAAAGAGGACAACUUUCCCCUAAUAGGGGAGGGCUGGUCUCGGGUUGAGGUUAUACAAGCAGCUGAGCUCCCCUGCUAGGACCUCCAAAUGAGCGCUCAAAGUCUAUGUUUUUAAAAUUAAAAAUUUAAUUAUAUCAAUUUAUCUGUCAUCACUAACGGAUAUAAAU
rnacentral:snRNA from 1 species